CACGUAGGCACCAAGCGUUGUCCGGAUUUAUUGGGCGUAAAGAGCUCGUAGGCGGUUCGGUAAGUCGGGUGUGAAAACUCUGGGCUCAACCCAGAGCCGCCACCUGAUACUGCUGUGACUCGAGUGCGGUAGGGGAGCGGGGAAUUCCUGGUGUAGCGGUGAAAUGCGCAGAUAUCGGGAGGAACACCAAUGGCGAAGGCAGCUCGCUGGGACGUUACUGACGCUGAGACGCGAAAGCGUGGGGAGCAAACAGG
rnacentral:rRNA from 1 species